CAUUCUUCUUGCCCACUCUGACUCCCACAGGCGGCUGUGUGGAAGCUGCUCCAGGAACACAUGUAAGGCUGUAUGCCCCAGGGGUACAAGUUGAGGGAUGGGUAGCUGCCAUGGUGCCAAGAGAGAAAAUUGACCAAAAUUAACCAGCCAAGCCUGGGCCUGAAACUUGCAAGCCUUCCGCAGAAACCAGAGCUCCAAAAUAGCUACAGACAGAUUUGACUGCUACACUUGCUGUCUAGGUGGGGAGACAGAGUUCUGGUGAUUUCUACUCUGACAUCUUCCCAGAACAAGGUUUUAAAAUUGAAACGAGAUGACUGAAAUUUGGGCAUAUGGAAAAGAGAGGGGAAGAAACUCCAGUUUGUUUCUGCAAUUUAGGCUAACCCUGAUUACUCCUGUGAACCAACAAGUGACCUCUGGCUGCUGCUCAGAAACAAGAAGGAUGCGCAAUGGGAAAAUCUGGAUCAGGGUUCUGAUUCUGGGCACACUACAACCAGCUAACAACCCCUACCAGCUUAGUUCCAACAGUUGCCCAGUUCAUUAAAUGCCUCCUGACUAAGUCUGCUUGGAACGACUUCACUUAUUUUGCUUCACUCUUGUGGAAUAUAUUGUUGUUAUACUCUUUGUAUGGAAAUACAGGACAAGCUUACUGAAUGCUUUCUUAAACACUUAUUAAUCUUGCAGAUGUCACCUUCUGUCAAAACUCAAGAGUUAUGAAUGAACCUUACCAUAUACUGCUGCUUUCUGACUGAGCUCCUCUCUACCCUGAAGGCAAGAAACCCUCAUAGUUAGGAAAGAAUAUCGUCACCCCUAUUCAGCCUGAACAAGGUACAGAAGAUGGAUCUCUGCCCCUCUGCAAUAGGAUUAAGGGUUCUCUUAUAAAAGGGAGGGGGGAAACACCAACGGCAUGUGGACCAGAGAAACUCCAUAUUGAAUAGGAGCUGGGUAAAAUGAGGCUAAAACCUAUUGCAUUCCCAGAUGGUUAAGGCAUGCUAAGUCACGGGAUGAGAUACGAGGUCAUCACAAAAUACAGGUCAUAAAGACCUUGCUGAUAAAACAGGCUGCAGUGAAGGAGCAGCCAAAACUCACCAAAACCAAGGUGGCCACCAGAGUGACCUCCGGCUGUCCUCACUGCUGUGCUCCACCGGCGCCAUGACAGUUUACCAAUGCCACGGAAAUGUCAGGAAGUUGCCCUGCAUGGUCUAAAAAAAGGGGAGGCAUGAAUAAUCCACCCCUUGCUUAGCAUAUCAUCAAGAAAUAACCAUAAACAUGGGCCGCCAGCGGCCCUCGGGGCUGCUCUGUCUAUGGAGUAGCCAUUCUUUAUUCAUUGACUUUCUUCAUAAACUUGCUUUCAUUUUGCACUGUGGACUCACCCCAAAUUCUUUCUUGCUCUAGAUCCAAGAACCCGCUCUUGGGGUCUGGAUUGGGGCCCCUUUCCUGUAACACCUGAGAUUGCACGGAAAUCGUCAAAUCAAGUUUAGCCUAGAGCCACCUCCUUACAUAUUUGAAGUGUGGCCUAAAGGUUUUUCUGUACAUCAUGAACU
rnacentral:lncRNA from 13 species